AUCUAAUGAAACAAAAUGUUUGUGCAAUGUAAUCAGAUGUGCGGGAAGCCUGGUGUUACCAUAACAGAUAAGAGUGUGCAAACUUAUCUUUAGUGGGCUAAACAAAUGGACUUGUGAUAUUGAUAAGGGAUUAGGCUAGUGGGCUAGAUAAUAUGUGAUGGACUGGAGUUAGGCUUGUAAAGGGAGUGUGCUAGUGCAACUUCAGUGGACCUUAUAUCAGAGUUUGAACAUCAGAAGUAAAUACGGUUUUGUGUAUAUUUAGAGGACAAGGUUGCAUUUCUUGGCAGCAAGCUCUUCACACAGUUAUAGGUUUUGAUUAAGUUUUGUAUUUAUUCUAAUGUGGUUUUCAAAAUAUAGAACGUGGGUUGUAACUUGUAACCACCAGGUAGAAGUUUUUUGUGUAAUUGUUUUUUCACGUGGCUUGUAGUAUUCCUAAC